GGGAUGCAAGAGGGCGACUACUUCAGAAAACAAAGAUAUAGGGGUGAAGGAGGCCCCCCAGGCCGCCUUCCACCCAUCUACUGACCCUUGACCGCGACCCCUCGCGGGACAAUGUCGCUCCAUUGUCUCAGGGGUCCGGCCACUACGGGGUGGGCCACGUCGGCGAGGGGCGCGGUCCCCACCCCGGGCUCUUCAUUCGGGCCUCCCGCUCCCCCCGCACCCACCGCAGCCAGCCCCCGCCCCAUCUUUCCUGGCUGGGGGAAACCAAGGAGGUCUGUGAAAAUGUUGGGUUUAAUGGUUCCUUGUACGCCCCACUUCCCGGAAAGGUAUGCCAUAAGCACAACUUCAUGAUUAUUAGUCUCAAACAACGUAACUGUGAUGUAGGUUUCUGUGACUGUUUCUUUCUACUUGUUCCAACCUUUCUUCUCCUCAGUAGAAUGUAUUCAGCAUUGGGUACAAAGGAUGCUGAAUAGGUAGUUUUUAUUUUUUAAGUGUAAAAGCAAAAUUCACACAGGGAAGAAGAAAAGAAACACGUACAGAGCCUGUGGUGGACAGUUACUGACGUCGUACUAGAAAGGACAGUCUGCUUUAAUACGUGUGCUCUGAUGGAGCUGGAACUGGGCCAGAAUUCUGGAGAUGAUCGAAUUCUUUCCUGUACAGAGAGCAGCGACUUCUUUGAAUUAGUGUUAAGACAAGAACUGAGUUAGUGUUGGUGACUCGGUCAUGUCCAACUCUUUGCAACCCCAUGGAUUAUAACCAGGCACCUCUGUCCAUGGGAUUCUCCAGGUAAGAAUACUAGAGUGGGUUUCCCUUCCCUUCUCCAGGGAAUCUUCCUGACCCAGGGGUAGAACCUGUCUAUGCCUGCACUGCAGGCAGCUUCUUUACCAUCUGAGCCACCAGGAAAGUCCUCUUGAAUUAUGUGAUCCAAAUACAGUGCAGGAAGGCAAACCUCUAUUUGUUUACUGAAUGAGCAAAUGAAUAGACAGAUAAGUUAUAUUUAAUAUCUGUCACGUUUUUUCCCCUUGGAUUUAAAAUUGGUAUCUCAGGAGUGUUUAGUUCUUGAAUUCAGCCCAUAACAGUGUGUUUAAAAAAAGGCCCCCAUCCUUUCUACAUAGGAAUCUCCUAGACAGAGGAUGAGAUUAAGUGCAGAACCUGAGACAGAGCAAGAUGUAGGUGUUGAGAGUCUCUGUGUAGUGGUGGUGAUGAUGUCACAGCUGUCACGCGUGGCUGAGGACGUCGAGGAAGUCGUUACAGAGGAGGUAGAAUCUGAGAGUUGAAGAAUGUGUUGGAAUUCUGGUGAACAUGCACCUCACACGUAACUUGUCUAAAAGGAAACUCAGUUUUCUAACUG
rnacentral:lncRNA from 1 species